rnacentral:rRNA from 1 species
AUUGAACGCUGGCGGCAUGCCUUACACAUGCAAGUCGAACGGCAGCACGGGUGCUUGCACCUGGUGGCGAGUGGCGAACGGGUGAGUAAUACAUCGGAACAUGUCCUGUAGUGGGGGAUAGCCCGGCGAAAGCCGGAUUAAUACCGCAUACGAUCUACGGAUGAAAGCGGGGGACCUUCGGGCCUCGCGCUAUAGGGUUGGCCGAUGGCUGAUUAGCUAGUUGGUGGGGUAAAGGCCUACCAAGGCGACGAUCAGUAGCUGGUCUGAGAGGACGACCAGCCACACUGGGACUGAGACACGGCCCAGACUCCUACGGGAGGCAGCAGUGGGGAAUUUUGGACAAUGGGCGAAAGCCUGAUCCAGCAAUGCCGCGUGUGUGAAGAAGGCCUUCGGGUUGUAAAGCACUUUUGUCCGGAAAGAAAUCCUUGGCCCUAAUACGGUCGGGGGAUGACGGUACCGGAAGAAUAAGCACAGGCUAACUACGUG